CAGUAGCCGCGGGAAUACCGAGGGUGCGAGCGUUAAUCGGAUUUACUGGGCGUAAAGCGUGCGUAGGCGGCUAAUUGAGUCGGAUGUGAAAUCCCCGAGCUUAACUUGGGAAUUGCAUUCGAUACUGGUUAGCUAGAGUGUGGGAGAGGAUGGUAGAAUUCCAGGUUUAGCGGUGAAAUGCGUAGAGAUCUGGAGGAAUACCGAUGGCGAAGGCAGCCAUCUGGCCUAACACUGACGCUGAGGUACGAAAGCAUGGGGAGCAAACAGGAUUAGAUACCCGGGUAGUCCCUGUCUCUUAUAU
rnacentral:rRNA from 1 species